UUUAAAUGCUUUGUAACUGGAAAGCAGCCCAAAGUGUAGCUUUGGGGGUUUGGAGGCGAGGUUGGUUUACUGACGCAGCUGGGCCUGUGCGUGCCUGGGUUCUCCAGCAAGGCUUUCAGAGGAAAGAUAAAGCAGUGUGAUGGCUGAAGGCCAUCCUAGGUGUGACCCCGGCAGGUGCUAGCAGCAAGACCCCAAAUAUAGAUGGCGCCACGUUGUGUCAAGGGCCCUGUGGCUUUGAAGAACUUCGGUUAACUCAUCUCAUGGGCUUCUCUAAUGGUUGUACAAAAACAGACAAGCUCAAUGACUCCUCGCUUUGCACAGAGAGGUCUCAAGUAAUGAGCAGCUGUCCUGGGCUCCAGGUAGUGGGGCUAGGAGUCCACGCCUUUUUGGGGCAUGGCCGGUAUGGUUUCCACGCCCUCGUACUGAAACCUUCGGCGGCUCUGGAUCUCUGUGAGAGACGCAGUUUCUUGCAAAUGCCACUAUGAGUUUACUGGGCACUGAGCAGGGCGCUGAGUUAGGAUUUGGGAUCGAGAGUGAAUUAAUUCCCAGUCCUCAUCUAGUGCGCUCAGCUCUGUGCCAGGUGCUGGAGUUUCAGUGGCAAGUAAAGUUAGCCUACUCCGGUAGUCUCUAAUACAAGUGAUGUAAGCCAUAGUAUUACAUCCAUCAAAGAAAGCACUGAAAUAACUGUUCUUUUAGUUUUCUAGGGAAAAUGCAUACACACUAGUUAUGGUCAUUUGCAUAGGUCUUUUGAUGAGUGGAAUGCUUUCUAGAUUAUCCAAAAGUCAUGAUAUUUAUGUAUGUGACAGAAACAAUAGCUGAUACUCAUUUAUAAGCUGAGCUUAUACAUAAUAGAAACUUAACAAACUAGUGUAAACUAAAAAGAGGGCUUUCUUGGUGUAUGCAGUGUGGGAGAUCAGGGACGGAGAUGGCCUUCGGGAUAACUGUAUCCAGGGAUUGAAUGACAUCAGCUGUGUGUCUGCUUGUUUUUCUGUGUAGUUGUUUGUCUCUCCCUGAGAUAUAAUGAUUCACACAUCAUAAAAUUCAUCCUUUUAAAGUAUUAGUGGUCUUUAACAUAUUCGCUGAACACUAGCAUUAGUGUAUCAGUACGUACUCAGCCAUCACCACCGUCUAAGUCUACAGCGUCGUCAUCACCCCACACCUGUUCGCAGUCACCCCCAUUCUCGCAGUCACUCCUUUCAGCCCUGCGCACCCAGCAGUCUGCUUCCUGUCUCUGGGUUUUGCUUCUGGACGUUUCACAUCCACGGCCUCACAUGGUAUGUGGUCCUUUGUGACUGACUGACUGCUUCCACUUAGCGUAAUGUUGUCCAGGUUUGUUCUUGUCGUAGCGGGGGUCAGUUCUUCAUCCUUUUUGUCGCUAAAUACUAUUCCAUUGCAUGAAUGACCACAUUUUAAAAACUCUGUUCUUUAGUUGACGGACAGUAGGGUUAUUGCCACUUUGGGGCUAUUGUGAGUAAUGCUGUUACGAGCGUUUGUGUGCAGUUUUUUUGCUGUGUGGACAUACGUUUUCAUUUUUCUUGGGUACAUAUCUAGGAGUGGAAUUCCUGGGUCAUAUGGUAACUGUGUUUAACUUUUGGGGAAACUGCCUGACUUUUCCACCGCAGUGGCACCGUUUUUCAUUCUUACCAGUAGCAUGGGAGGGGCCUCAUUUCUCCACAUUCUCACCAACAUGUUAUCUGUCUUUUUGAUUGGACCAGAUUAUCUUUUAAGCACCUUUUAAUUCAGAAAGUGUAACUUUAUGGAAAACAUUAACUGUUCUUGAAAUUUAAUAAAAUUCCACAAAGGAAUUAAAUAGUAUGUAUGUGACAGCAAUGAGAAAUAGCUAUUUUAAGUUUAUUUACUUUCUACUGUGUUCUUGGGUCAUCCAUUUUUAUGAAGUGAUGACAAACUUCUGUUCGGAGUACGUUUGUGUAUUUUUUUUUUUUUUUCUCUAAAACCAGAUGGUAGCCAGAACAUAGCUGGGAUUUCAUUAAGAUAAUCUUAUCAGUUUUUGUUUAUUCGUGAAGUUUUUUUUUUAUUUUUUAUUUUUGGGAAAAAAAUUCUUGUCACGAAUAAGGAAGGACAUUAAACUCUAGGAAAUGAGAAGUCAAGGCCAUCUGGCGUUACAGUCCGCACAGAGUGCAAACAUCUCCUGAUGAUCUUUAUUGCCCCUUCCAUUCUGUGUCACCUACUGUUUUCUUUCAAAGGAAGAGUGGAAUGCAGUUCUAAAACCAGCUUUCGUGUCUCUCAGGAUUUCCCACUAGUUUUUGAGAGUCCUUGGACUCGGAACAGUUUUAUUCAUUUUGUGAACUCCGCACGUCUCGUCUUAUUCUUCUGCCCCUUAUGUUGCAUAAUUAUUCCCUUUGAAAGAAAAGGAGGGAGGAAGUUUUACAAUAGGCAUAGUUUAUUUUUAAUAUGCUGUAAACUCUUUAGAGCAGGAGCAAUUUUCUAUACUGUUGACUAUUUUAUAGGGCCCGGUACAUAAUAAGGGGCUCAAAAGAUAUUUGUGGGAGGGAUGGGGCUGUGGAAGGGUGGCCUGAUGGAUGGAUUUAUAGGUAAAGUGACUUACACAUGAUUGAAUUUUAGGGGUGUUGGCCAAUUCUUUAGUUCCAUUUUCUGUUUUCUUUUAAACACACAUGUUGGCUAUGUGAUGAUUGGUUAACAGAUGGAAUAAUUUGGUUUUUAUCCCUUGGAUUGUCACAUUGCUACAGUGUUUGAGAUUGUCUCAGCAACUUGGAGAUGUCUCAUUUCUUUCAGUGUUAAAUCGUUUCUGGGAUUAUUUCUAGUCACUGUGGUUGAACUGAAAAGCUGCCGCAAGGAAUCGUGAGGAAGGUAGGAAAAAUUGGCAUAUAAAGUUGGGACUGCAUCAGUUGGCACGUUCGAUCCCUAUAACCAUGAGAAUAAACUCUCCGGGAUCACAAGGUCGUAAUUGAGGCAUCUUGCCAUUCAGCAGAGUUCGCUUGGGUUUUGAUUUGGUUUGGGAGUGUGGGGCGCCAACGAGUCUUUGCGGGAUAUAAAGGUUAGUUUAUUGUUGGUGAAACCUUUUUCCAUUUUGUUUCGUCUUUUCCCUCCCUUUCCACCACCUACUCUUCAUACAGGUUUCGCGGUAUCCUCUGCAUGGAAGUGCCCUUCUAAGUAGCUGAUCGUGGUGACAGAGUCUGACCUUAUGGACAGGACAGUGGGAAAACGUGGGUGCCACGUGAUCCUUCUCCCUGGGCGCAGUGGAGACUGAAACUGUCCAAAGACAUGGGACGAAUUGCCUGUGAACGCGAUAGUGAUGAAUGCAGACAGGCCUCAGUUUACCCCUGUAUUGUGUUUAUGAGUUAAGUUAGUUCUUUGGGACACUGCACGUCUUCCUGUGGAAAAAGUGCUAUAAAUGAUCCUUGGGCUCAUAGGCCAACCCAAGAAAUGAUGUCGAUGGUGAAGACGACAUAGCUGAAAGGUCCAAAUAUAUUGUAGCUACAACUAGCUGAAGACAUUUCUUAUUGAAAAAGCAAUACCAUUAAAGACUUCUGCAGGCCAGACUGGGGAGUUACCCAGCACUUCUGCCCUCAUCUCUGGGGGGUGAGGGGAAAUACGGCUGAAGGAGAGUGUCAGUGACAAACUUUCCUCUGCAGUUUAGUGAUGGCAUCAUCUCUGACGGGCACAGGACUCCCGUCCUUGGGGUUGCCCAUGUAGAAAACAGACGCCGUUCCACAGCCCACAGUGAGAUGGUACAGACUUGAGACCCUCUUACCACGCAUUUCCAACACGGUGGGCUGUGUGCUCCCCGUUCCUCUCCUGAGCCUCCCUUUAUUUUUCCUCCUCAACAGUUAGUGCCUCAACGCCUAGUUGACUGAGUUCUGUAUCCUUCGAGACCUGACCCUGAAACUGCCCCUUUGCAUUCAGAGGCUGAGCAGCCGCGGGCUGACUCGAAGCCUGAUUCCUCUUUGGAAUCAGAUACCCUUGUUCAGAAAUGACUGCCAGGCUCAGGUCUCAAACCCUGCAGUCACAAGGCAAGGGACGAGCCAGGGGAUCACUCAGCAUCACGGGUCCACACUCUCUGCCUGCUGUGUGACAAGAGAUAAAAGGACCACUCACUGCUGCCUGCUGGGGUGCUGGCAGAGCGUGGCUCCCUCACUUCUUCGCUUUAUUUCCAGGCCCCUGCUGCGGGCGGGGGUGGGGGGGGUUCCCCGUAGGGGAGAGAAUCUUAGGCUCCACCUUCCCCUUUGAUUUCUAAAUCUCCUGGGACCGUCCCCAGCCUUGUCCCUGCUACUUCUGUUUGCAGUGUGUUUGUCACUCUCAUUUCGUACAUGGAGUUCUUUUUUCUCUGCACCGUUUCUAAACUUUCUGACAAGUUUUGUGUUGGGUUUGCAAGCACUUGCGUGGAAAUAGCUCCUGAGUUGAAAAAGCACAGUGGACGCCAGGUUUCGUUUGUGCAGUUCCAAACUGCAUAAAAACAUGAAAAGUCAGCUCUAAUUAACAUUAAAGUGCAUUAAAAAAACAAAAAAAAAAAACAAAAAAAAAAACA